rnacentral:rRNA from 1 species
GAUGAACGCUAGCUACAGGCUUAACACAUGCAAGUCGAGGGGAAACGAUAGAGAAAGCUUGCUUUUUCUAGGCGUCGACCGGCGCACGGGUGAGUAACGCGUAUCCAACCUGCCCAUCACUUGGGGAUAACCUUGCGAAAGUAAGACUAAUACCCAAUGAUAUCUCUAGAAGACAUCUGAAAGAGAUUAAAGAUUUAUCGGUGAUGGAUGGGGAUGCGUCUGAUUAGCUUGUUGGCGGGGUAACGGCCCACCAAGGCGACGAUCAGUAGGGGUUCUGAGAGGAAGGUCCCCCACAUUGGAACUGAGACACGGUCCAAACUCCUACGGGAGGCAGCAGUGAGGAAUAUUGGUCAAUGGACGAGAGUCUGAACCAGCCAAGUAGCGUGAAGGAUGACUGCCCUAUGGGUUGUAAACUUCUUUUAUACGGGAAUAAAGUGAGGCAUGUGUGCCUUUUUGUAUGUACCGUAUGAAUAAGGAUCGGCUAACUCCGUGCCAGCA